rnacentral:rRNA from 1 species
AUUGAACGCUGGCGGCAGGCCUAACACAUGCAAGUCGAGCGGAUGAAGGGAGCUUGCUCCUGGAUUCAGCGGCGGACGGGUGAGUAAUGCCUAGGAAUCUGCCUGGUAGUGGGGGAUAACGUCCGGAAACGGGCGCUAAUACCGCAUACGUCCUGAGGGAGAAAGUGGGGGAUCUUCGGACCUCACGCUCUCAGAUGAGCCUAGGUCGGAUUAGCUAGUUGGUGGGGUAAAGGCCUACCAAGGCGACGAUCCGUAACUGGUCUGAGAGGAUGAUCAGUCACACUGGAACUGAGACACGGUCCAGACUCCUACGGGAGGCAGCAGUGGGGAAUAUUGGACAAUGGGCGAAAGCCUGAUCCAGCCAUGCCGCGUGUGUGAAGAAGGUCUUCGGAUUGUAAAGCACUUUAAGUUGGGAGGAAGGGCAGUAAGUUAAUACCUCGCUGUUUUGACGUUACCAACAGAAUAAGCACCGGCUAACUUCGUG